AUUGAACGCUGGCGGCAUGCUUUACACAUGCAAGUCGAACGGUAACAGGGUGCUUGCACCGCUGACGAGUGGCGAACGGGUGAGUAAUGCGUCGGAACGUGCCGAGUAGUGGGGGAUAACGCAGCGAAAGUUGUGCUAAUACCGCAUACGUACUGAGGUAGAAAGUGGGGGGCCUUCGGGCCUCACGCUAUUCGAGCGGCCGACGUCUGAUUAGCUAGUAGGUGAGGUAAGGGCUCACCUAGGCGACGAUCAGUAGCGGGUCUGAGAGGAUGAUCCGCCACACUGGGACUGAGACACGGCCCAGACUCCUACGGGAGGCAGCAGUGGGGAAUUUUGGACAAUGGGCGAAAGCCUGAUCCAGCCAUGCCGCGUGUCUGAAGAAGGCCUUCGGGUUGUAAAGGACUUUUGUCGGGGAGGAAAUCCCCAGCGUUAAUACCGCUGGGGGAUGACAGUACCUGAAGAAUAAGCACCGGCUAACUACGUGCCAGCAGCCGCAGUAAAAC
rnacentral:rRNA from 1 species